GAUAUGUUGUUCAAGGGCUUAUUCCAUGUCACGGGUCAAUGGAAGUGAUACAAUUUUCUUGAAGUAGAGACAUAGAGAAGAGUUUCUGUGGAGCUAAAGAUAGAGAUACACACUAAAGACAGAGUUGGGUUAUUAUAUGAUGCUAUACGGUCAAUAGCGUCAUAUAACGGUGUCAAUACUUACAAGGCAGAGACCGGACGGUGGCCGGAGGACGGACGGUGGUGGUC